UACGUUGGGGGCAAGCGUUAUCCGGAAUUACUGGGUGUAAAGGGUGCGUAGGCGGCACGCCAAGUCAGUUGUGAAACCCGUAGGCUCAACCUACGGCUUGCAAUUGAAACUGGCGAGCUAGAGUACAGGAGAGGAAAGCGGAAUUCCUAGUGUAGCGGUGAAAUGCGUAGAUAUUAGGAAGAACACCGGUGGCGAAGGCGGCUUUCUGGACUGAAACUGACGCUGAGGCACGAAAGCGUGGGGAGCAAACAGG
rnacentral:rRNA from 1 species